rnacentral:rRNA from 1 species
GAUGAACGCUGGCGGCGUGCUUAACACAUGCAAGUCGAACGGAAAGGCCCAAGCUUGCUUGGGUACUCGAGUGGCGAACGGGUGAGUAACACGUAGGUGAUCUGCCCUGCACUUCGGGAUAAGCCUGGGAAACUGGGUCUAAUACCGGAUAGGACCACUUCUUGGAUGUUGUGGUGGAAAGUUUUUUCGGUGUGGGAUGAGCUCGCGGCCUAUCAGCUUGUUGGUGGGGUAAUGGCCUACCAAGGCGUCGACGGGUAGCCGGCCUGAGAGGGUGUACGGCCACAUUGGGACUGAGAUACGGCCCAGACUCCUACGGGAGGCAGCAGUGGGGAAUAUUGCACAAUGGGCGCAAGCCUGAUGCAGCGACGCCGCGUGGGGGAUGACGGCCUUCGGGUUGUAAACUCCUUUCGCUAGGGACGAAGCGUUUUGUGACGGUACCUGGAGAAGAAGCACCGGCUAACUACGUG